rnacentral:tRNA from 1 species
CCCUCGAUAGCUCAGUUGGCGGAGCGGAGGACUGUAGAUGUUACAACGGUGAUCCUUAGGUCGCUGGUUCAAAUCCAGUUCGAGGGA